AACGCGUGAGCAAUCUACCUUAGUUACUGGGAUAGCCCGAGGAAACUCGGAUUAAUACCGGAUAUUCUUAUUUUUUCACAUGAAGUUUUAAGGAAAGGUCAGCCGAACUAAGAUGAGCUCGCGUUCUAUCAGCUAGUUGGUGGGGUAAAAGCCUACCAAGGCUACGACGGAUAGCCGGUCUGAGAGGACGAUCAGCCACACUGGGACUGAGACACGGCCCAGACUCCUACGGGAGGCUGCAGCAGGGAAUAUUGUGCAAUGAGCGAAAGCUUGACACAGCGACACCGCGUGUGGAUGACGGUUCUGGGAUUGUAAACCACUUUCAGGAGGGAAGAAAAUGACGGUACCUCCACAAGAAGACCCGGCCAACUAUGUGCCAGCAGCCGCAGUAAUACAUAGGGGUCAAGCGUUGUCCGGAUUUAUUGGGCGUAAAGAGCUCGUAGGCGGUUCAACAAGUCGGUCGUAAAAGUUUAGGGCUCAACCCUAAAAUGUCGAUCGAUACUGUUGUGACUAGGAUACGGUAGAGGUGAAUGGAAUUCCGAGUGUAGCGGUGAAAUGCGUAGAUAUUCGGAGGAACACCAAUU
rnacentral:rRNA from 1 species